GAUGAACGCCAGCGAUAGGCUUAACACAUGCAAGUCGAGGGGCAGCAUAAAUGUAGCAAUACAUUGGUGGCGACCGGCGCACGGGUGAGUAACGCGUAUGCAACCUACCCAUAACAGGGGGAUAACACGGCGAAAGUCGUGCUAAUACCGCAUAACACAGGGGUCCCGCAUGGGAAUAUUUGUUAAAGAUUUAUUGGUUAUGGAUGGGGAUGCGUUCCAUUAGGUAGGUGGUAAGGGAAUGGCUUACCAAGCCAUCGAUGGAUAGGGGUUCUGAGAGGGAGGUACCCCAGAAUGGGACUGAGACACGGACCAGACGCGUACGGAGGGCAGCAGAGAGGAAGAUUGGUCAAUGGGCGAGAGCCUGAACCAGCCAAAUCGCGGAAAGGGUGACGGUAUUAUGUAUUGUAGUCUUCUUUUAAUGAGGAAUAAAGUGCAGGACGUGUCCUGUUUUGUAUGUACCUAACGAAGAAGCAUCGGCUAACUCCGUGCCAGCCGCCGCCGUAA
rnacentral:rRNA from 1 species